CCGGAAAACAGCUGAUGUCAUGGAGAGCACGACACAUUGCCACCGAUAACCGGGAAUAUACACUCUUAUCGCGUAACCCUAAGACACUGAUACAGUAUCACUCGCUCCCGGUCUCUCUCUUUGGCUGGUCUCUCUGCCCCCCCCCUCUAACCUGGGGAUGAACGCACCAAUGAGGAGCCAACUCACGGUGGAUAACUUGUACAUUAAGGAUCGCUGGUGUAUGUUUGACGGCUUCAUGGUCUUCUUCCUCUGGGUGUCUCUGGUGCUUCAGAUUUACCUUACAACAGAGGUCUUCCAGGUACAGCACCUGUUCAUAGCCUUCCCUCUCUCCCUCCGGUGUUUGAGAUAGCGGAUGUUGUUGACCAGAUGUCUCCCUGGGGCAUGUUGAGAAUCCCCAGAGCCCUCAUCACGAGCCUUCAGGAUCUACUUCCGCUUCGAGCUGCCGCGCUCACGCAUUACCAACAUCCUCAAGUGCUCAGGGUUUUCUUUGGACAUGACAUAACCUGGAUAUGAAAUAUCAUUUGAAAUGGAAAUCUAUACUUGGUUGAUGGUUAAUGUAAAAUAUUCUCCCAGGCAGUCAGGGGAACAGAUCUGGAGUGUGUCGAUAUUCUUGCUCUUCUUCUUCCUCUGUAUGGAAUCCUGGGAGUUCAGAUGUUCGGAACGUUCAAUCAUCACUGCGUUACCAACGACACAACGAAAGGUAAUGUGACGUGGAACAGCCUGGCCAUCCCAGACACCCACUGUUCACCAGAUGGUGAGGGCUACCUUUGUCCACUGGACCUGGAAGAACUGGUGCUCAGCAGGCAGGGGGUGGGCUACAGCGGGUUCAACAAGCUUGCAACUGAUGUGCUCCUCCGUCUUCCACAUGUUUAUUCUGACCUUGGUUGCUGUGGAUGUAAUCGUAGCCGCCAGCAACUACUGCAAGGGCGAUAACCACCAA